ensembl:lncRNA
GCUGUUUCGGCCCAACCCCCAAGCUCACAGCCCAGGUGGGAGGGGAGCAGCUGUGGCACCCAGCCCCUAUCCCUGACGAUAGAGAGCUGCAGAAGGGCCCCUACACCCCAGAAUCUGGAAAGAGCUCUAGCUCUGGUCUCUCUGGAUGGAGGCAGCCAAUUGGUCCUGCCUGAAGUCUAACCUUAGCUCCUCAUUCUGCAACACAAGCUCUAUUCCCUCAUGGUCUCUUGGGAGAAAGAAAAAUAACCAAAGUUGAGACUCGGAGAGAAAGUUCUCCCCCACUGCCAACCCCGACUGUCCUAUAGAAACUGGACCUGACUUCACUAAGAGGCUAGGGGUGGGUAUAACUCCUAAAACCAUCCCUGGCUAAGGCACCCACCUGAGAGAAAACCCAGUGUGGAACAGGGAGGACACUGCAUCUAGCUCCAGGAAGUCUGGGCCAUGGCUGAGACCUCUGGCUCAGUUCUUCUCCUGGUGAGGUCCACAGGACUGGUAAUAAGUUGGCUCCCCAAGACCUGAGAAUUUGAGAGACCUCAAGGAGCCUGCUUUCUAGAGAAGAGCUACGGGCAUUAGAGUGGAUCAAGUUCAAGCUAGUGGGAAAACAACUUUUGGUGAGCCCUAAUGUUCUGUGUUGUCUCUCUUUAACCCCCAGUACCACCAA